rnacentral:rRNA from 1 species
AGAGUUUGAUCCUGGCUCAGGAUGAACGCUAGCGACAGGCUUAACACAUGCAAGUCGAGGGGCAGCAUGAUUUGUAGCAAUACAGAUUGAUGGCGACCGGCGCACGGGUGAGUAACGCGUAUGCAACUUACCUAUCAGAGGGGGAUAACCCGGCGAAAGUCGGACUAAUACCGCAUGAAGCAGGGAUCCCGCAUGGGAAUAUUUGCUAAAGAUUCAUCGCUGAUAGAUAGGCAUGCGUUCCAUUAGGCAGUUGGCGGGGUAACGGCCCACCAAACCGACGAUGGAUAGGGGUUCUGAGAGGAAGGUCCCCCACAUUGGUACUGAGACACGGACCAAACUCCUACGGGAGGCAGCAGUGAGGAAUAUUGGUCAAUGGCCGAGAGGCUGAACCAGCCAAGUCGCGUGAAGGAAGAAGGAUCUAUGGUUUGUAAACUUCUUUUAUAGGGGAAUAAAGUGGAGGACGUGUCCUUUUUUGUAUGUACCCUAUGAAUAAGCAUCGGCUAACUCCGUGCCAGCAGCCGCGGUAAUACGGAGGAUGCGAGCGUUAUCCGGAUUUAUUGGGUUUAAAGGGUGCGUAGGUGGUGAUUUAAGUCAGCGGUGAAAGUUUGUGGCUCAACCAUAAAAUUGCCGUUGAAACUGGGUUACUUGAGUGUGUUUGAGGUAGGCGGAAUGCGUGGUGUAGCGGUGAAAUGCAUAGAUAUCACGCAGAACUCCGAUUGCGAAGGCAGCUUACUAAACCAUAACUGACACUGAAGCACGAAAGCGUGGGGAUCAAACAGGAUUAGAUACCCUGGUAGUCCACGCAGUAAACGAUGAUUACUAGGAGUUUGCGAUACAAUGUAAGCUCUACAGCGAAAGCGUUAAGUAAUCCACCUGGGGAGUACGCCGGCAACGGUGAAACUCAAAGGAAUUGACGGGGGCCC